rnacentral:rRNA from 1 species
GACGAACGCUGGCGGCGUGCUUAACACAUGCAAGUCGAACGGAAAGGCCCUGCUUUUGUGGGGUGCUCGAGUGGCGAACGGGGGAGUAACACGUGAGUAACCUGCCCUUGACUUUGGGAUAACUUCAGGAAACUGGGGCUAAUACCGGAUAGGAGCUCCUGCUGCAUGGUGGGGGUUGGAAAGUUUCGGCGGUUGGGGAUGGACUCGCGGCUUAUCAGCUUGUUGGUGGGGUAGUGGCUUACCAAGGCUUUGACGGGUAGCCGGCCUGAGCGGGUGACCGGCCACAUUGGGACUGAGAUACGGCCCAGACUCCUACGGGAGGCAGCAGUGGGGAAUAUUGCACAAUGGGCGGAAGCCUGAUGCAGCAACGCCGCGUGCGGGAUGACGGCCUUCGGGUUGUAAACCGCUUUCGCCUGUGACGAAGCGUGAGUGACGGUAAUGGGUAAAGAAGCACCGGCUAACUACGUG